UACAGAGGGUGCAAGCGUUGUUCGGAAUUAUUGGGCGUAAAGGGAGUGUAGGCGGUUAGUUAAGUCUGCUGUGAAAUCUACGGGCUUAGCCUGUAACGUGCAGCGGAAACUGGCUGACUUGAGUAUCGGAGAGGGCAGGGGAAUACCCAGUGUAGAGGUGAAAUUCGUAGAGAUUGGGUGGAACACCAGUGGCGAAGGCGCCUGCCUGGCUGAUUACUGACGCUGAGACGUCGAAAGCAUGGGGAAGCAAACAGG
rnacentral:rRNA from 1 species